GACGUAGGGAGCGAGCGUUGUCCGGAUUUAUUGGGCGUAAAGGGCCAGUAGGCGGCUUGGCAAGUCAGGUGUGAAACCUCCAGGCUCAACCUGGAGACGCCACUUGAUACUGCUAUGGCUUGAGUCCGGUAGGGGAGCAUGGAAUACCCGGUGUAGCGGUGAAAUGCAUUGAGAUCGGAAAGAACACCAACGGCGAAAGCACUCUGCUGGGCCGACACUGACACUGAGAGACGAAAGCUAGGGGAGCAAAUGGG
rnacentral:rRNA from 1 species